GGCGGCCGCGCCGGGCUAGCAGGGCUGGGCUGGGGCUGCGGGGCGGCGCCGGGACAGGAAGCGGAAAGCAGCAGAGACCAGCGGCCGCGGCGGGGCUGUGCCUCCACUGCAGCCCAGCGCAGGCCGCGGAGCCCGGGCGCUGCAGCCGAGAGCGCGGGCGUGGAGCGCGACGGGCCGGCGCCGGGAGUCCUGUUGAAGAGUAGUGUCUCUGAGUCCUCCAAGGCCUUUAGAGCUAGUGGGUGAGACAGCACGCGGAAGGACAGCCCCUGCUCCUUCAUCAGACGAAGCUUGCCAUUGCUAUGGAUACCGAAUCCACGUAUUCUGGAUAUUCCUACUACUCAAGCCAUUCCAAAAAAUCUCACAGGCAAGGGGAAAGAACAAGAGAAAGACACAAAUCACCAAGGAAUAAAGAUGGCAGAGGGUCAGAAAAGUCUGUCACCAUCCAGGCUCCUGCUGGAGAGCCCCUGCUGGCAAAUGACUCUGCCCGCACAGGCGCAGAGGAAGUUCAGGAUGACAACUGGGGAGAGACCACCACCGCAAUCACAGGCACCUCAGAGCACAGUAUAUCCCAAGAGGACAUUGCCAGGAUUAGCAAGGACAUGGAGGACAGUGUGGGGCUGGAUUGCAAGCGCUAUCUGGGCCUCACCGUUGCCUCGUUCCUUGGACUACUUGUCUUCCUCACCCCCAUUGCCUUCAUCCUGCUACCCCAAAUCCUGUGGAGGGAGGAGCUGAAACCCUGUGGCGCCAUUUGUGAGGGACUUCUCAUUUCUGUAUCAUUCAAACUGCUUAUUCUGCUCAUCGGAACCUGGGCACUUUUCUUCCGCAAGCAAAGAGCGGAUGUGCCGCGGGUGUUUGUGUUCCGAGCGCUGUUACUGGUCCUUAUCUUUCUUUUUGUGGUUUCUUACUGGCUUUUUUAUGGGGUCCGCAUUUUGGACUCUCGGGACCAAAAUUACAAGGACAUCGUGCAAUACGCAGUCUCUCUUGUGGACGCGCUGCUUUUCAUCCACUACCUUGCCAUCGUCCUGCUGGAGCUGAGGCAGCUGCAACCCAUGUUCACCCUGCAGGUGGUCCGCUCCACCGACGGAGAGUCCCGCUUCUACAGCUUGGGACACUUGAGCAUCCAGCGAGCAGCCUUGGUGGUUCUGGAAAAUUACUACAAGGACUUCACCAUCUAUAACCCGAACCUCCUAACAGCAUCCAAAUUCCGAGCAGCCAAGCACAUGGCUGGCCUGAAAGUCUACAAUGUAGAUGGGCCUAGUAAUAACGCCACUGGUCAGUCCCGAGCCAUGAUUGCUGCAGCAGCUCGGCGCAGAGACUCCAGCCACAACGAGUUGUAUUAUGAAGAGGCCGAACACGAACGCAGGGUGAAGAAGCGGAGAGCAAGACUGGUAGUGGCUGUGGAGGAAGCCUUCAUCCAUAUCCAGCGUCUCCAGGCUGAGGAGCAGCAGAAGUCUCCCGGAGAGGUGAUGGACCCCAGAGAGGCAGCCCAGGCCAUCUUCCCCUCCAUGGCCAGGGCACUGCAGAAGUACCUGCGCACCACACGGCAGCAGCACUACCACAGCAUGGAGAGUAUCCUGCAGCACCUGGCCUUCUGCAUCACCAACAGCAUGACCCCCAAGGCACUCAGCCUGCCCUCGGGGAUUCUUGGCUUUAGCAGGGAGGGAGAGGUGCCCGUGUCUUCAGGUGGCAUGUUACAUCAACAGUGGUAGCCAAUCCACUUCCCUCAACUCACCCUCUGAUUGUAAAUUGCCAAAAGAAAAUUCCGAAGCCCAAGGAGUCUUCCUUCUACAGAGAGGGUCUCGUGGGCCUUCAGCAUGAGAGGCUGAACUCUAGUCUAAGGCUUUCCUUGAACGAUACCUCAGUGCGGGCCCCACCUUGCAGUAUGACAAGGAUCGAUGGCUCUCGACACAGUGGAGACUUAUUAGUGAGGAGGCUGUGACAAACGGGUUACGGGAUGGAAUUGUUUUCGUCCUUAAAUGCUUGGACUUCAGCCUCGUGGUCAAUGUGAAGAAAAUCCCAUUCAUUGUACUCUCAGAAGAGUUCAUAGACCCUAAAUCUCACAAGUUUGUUCUUCGCUUACAGUCUGAGACAUCAGUCUAAAAUUUCUAUACUUGUGGCUUUAUGAAAAACAAAAGAAUAUAUAAAUAUAUAUAUAUAUAUAUGUCCAGGAGGAAGUUCUUUUAUAAAGAUUUUUUAAAAUUCUUCAAUGCUGACUCAAACUGGCAGAGGAUAGACCAGUAUCCUUCGACCAUCUGCACUUUAUUUGGAAGGAAGCAGGAGAUGCCCACCCCAACAAGUGACUGUUGGCAUCUGACUUUAAUAGAUGGGACUUCUGAAGAAGCUGUUCCCUGGAGUUUCUGUGACAGCUGUAAACCAAAGUGUAGCUGCUGUGUGUCCUUGGGAGCCUCGCCUUACAACUGGUCCCUGCCUGUGGCCCAGUACCACACCCGCCUGGACUUCUGGUCUACCACCUCAUAGAUCCUAGGGGCCUCACUUUAUUCUGCUUCAGGAAGCCAAACACUACACACCCACUUGCGUGUUUGUGCAUGUAGUUAUCCACAUCACCACACCACCCUGGGGAGUGGUGGGCAGUACAGGAAAUGUCCAACCGCCUGAGUUUUUAAUCAUUUGUUGCCUUACAUUGCGAAGAGAAAGAAACUGAUAGGAAAUGUGCACUGCCGUUUUGCAGCUGUUAAGUGAUUGGCUUUCCAUUUUCCCCUGAGAGAGAGCCUACCUGCCCUGUUUUUGGCCCUGCUCCUCUGUUGGCCCUUCCCUAGCCCUGGGAUUGCCUACCUGGGCUUCACUCUAACGCCCACUCUCCUUAGCAUCUGGACCACAGCUGUACAUGGUGGGCAGCCUGGCCAGGCUAGCUUGGUCCUCCAGAGAUGUCAGGGAUUUGGCUUUCCAAGUAUACCCACAGCUCUUUGCACAGCCUCUCCCAGUCUUUCUCCCGAGAAGUAGGGUAUGACUCUGGGGAUCUAUUCAGCCGCAGCACCUCCCUUAGGCUGCAGCAGGAGCCCAUCCACCCAGUCCUCCUCAGCCCUGCUUCACACAAACCAGGAGAGACCAACACUGUGACUCCCAGUUGGCAGGUGCCCCAUGUAGCCAUCUAAUUUCCCAGGGAGACAAGUAUUCAACAAAGCUCAUGUGCCAAGCUUCCCUGCCACGGGAAACCAAACAGUGCCCACCACCCUGGCAACUACUGCUGUCCCAUCCCUGAGGUUUGUGACCACCACCACUGUGCAACUUAUCACAAGGAAAAGGGUCGCUGGGAAAGGGAGAGUUGAGUCAGCCGUGCAGUCCCGAAGGCUCCUUCUGUCAGCAUGUUGUAGCUGGUUUCAGAGGACAAUGCCCUUGAUGUCCCAUUUGUAGACAUAGCUGCUUCCUGGCAGAGUCCUGUGCAGGGGAGUGCCCAAGGAGUCAUUUCCUGACACCUUGUAGUGGGCUGUCCCAGUCUCUGCUUGCCUACAUCCGAAGCAAUGCUCCACCAAGUACUCUUUCCUUUAUCAGUUUCAGGGAUCUCAUUUCAGGAAAGGAGAAGGCCGCCAUCAUCUCCGUGCCCAUAUAUGUGUACCCUUCUGUCUGUGCAUUCCACGAACCAAGCGAUUUUGUCUGUCAUUAAAAAAAAAAAAAAAAUCCAAAUUGGCAUGGAAUAUUUGUGAUACACCUGUGCUUAGAAAAGCCAAUGUUAUUUUUUUGUUCAAUAACUUUUGCUCAGAAAGAUGUGCUAGAGAAGGAAGAGAAACCUGUGACACACACACACACACACACACAUAUAGUGUAACCAGGUGCUUUGGUCUUACUUUGAAACCUUUAGGUCCCUUCUACUGGAAGUUCCUCAGGAUGUCUUACUCAGGAAAUAUUUUAGGAGAACGAGGUAAGGGGUGGGCAGUCUGUGAGAGACCAGCUGUGUGUGGAGGGUAAUGUCACAGCAGAGCUGCUCCGCCACCAACACCAUUCAGUUGUUAAGUGCCAUAAAUGUAAGUACUGCAGCGUUAAAGGUAACAUCUUACAGUACUAUGCUUCCUGCUCCUGGUUAAACCAUGGGUCUUAAAGGGGUUAAAUUGGAGCCCUGUGUUGGUAUGUGCAUUCCCAGAAGGGCAAAGAACGGUUUAAAUUAAGGAAUUAAUUUAUUUUCCCUCCUGGCCCCUCUCCAUCUCCUUUGCAUAGAACUUCAGACUUCCUGAAAUUAUUGUUUUGGUUGUAAAUUGAAUAUCGAUUUUUUUUUUCUUCAAAAUGCUUAAGUUUGCAUCGAUUCCUGAAAGAAAAGCCAAAAUCACAAGCAGGAUCCUUUAAAGUCUUUGUGCUCCCAGCGUUUUACCAGGCCGAGUUGACGUGGAAGCGAACGGUGUAGAGGAGAGUUUGCAAAAGAAAUGUGAAGUUGCAGAAAGCUGCAUCACACAACUGAAGACAAUAAAGUUUUAUUUCAUUUCUUGGACCCUCAUAGCCUACUCUUUUUAAAGGAUGUAAAUUGCUCCCCAAGGCUAGUAGGAUACAUGAUCCUAUUAGAGGACACAGGAUUCCAUUACCUUAAACGUUUAUAGAUUCCCCCCCCCCUAUAACUUCUAACCUAAGUUAUUAAAAUUCUAACAUUAACUGUGGAAGAACUCAAUGAAGAGUGUAGGUCUGAGAUUGCCGUCUUUCCCGGGUGAUUUUCAUUAUCUACAAAGGUAGAUAAGACAACUUUUGUUCAGAAUUGUGUGCUUAAAAAAAAAAAAAAGAAAAAGCAGUCUUUAAUAGUCCUGGAAUUGAAUGCUCAGGAAGUGGGAAUUAAAAUGGACUUUAAGGUUAUGAGGCUCACACAUCCUUAGGUAACCCGUGGGGUCAAAACUGUCUUGGCUAAAGUUCAUAAAGUAAAUGCUUACCCAACAUUUAUCAUCUCCCUUCUUUCCUCUAACUCCCUUUUGAGAUCUGCAAGAAGACAGAUUCUUUUUUUUUUUUUUUUUUACUUUUGGGUACUUUAUUGAGUUGUUUUCCCUACUACCCUUCACCUCCCUUAUCCCUUCCAAUCCCCUGACACUAGGUAGGAGAGAGAGAAGGUGAGAGAAGAAAGGGGACAUCGGAAUUCUUAAACCACUUCCUGUUGUUUAGGGGUGUUGAGGUCCUUGGUGCAGGUCCAAUCUUCAUCAUCAUCAUCAUCUGGAUAUAAGAAGACAGAUUCUUUAUAGCACAGAGUAUGAAGUCAGUGGCCUGGGUAUGUUUGCCUUAUCACAAUUCACUGUUAGUGUGGGCUUUUCUUUUCUUUUCUUUUCUUUUCUUUUCUUUUUUUUUGGUUUUUCAAGACAGAGUUUCUCUGUAUAGCCCUGGCUGUCCUUGAACUCACUUUGUAGACCAGGCUGGCCUCGAACUCAGAAAUCCGCCUGCCUCUGCCUCCCGAGUGCUGGGAUUAAGAGUGUGGGGCUUUCUAAUGAAUGGGGAGACUGGCCAUGCAGAUAAGCCUUAGAAAGGUCUAGGGUACUCGAUCUUGCCAUCUCCUGAGUCAGAGGUGGUGGUGAGCAGCUCUAAUUUCUACAUCAUCUUCUGGAGUGCAUGUAUUAAAUGCAAUAGCUUGCUCCAGUCAGAGACACUACUGCUACGAUGAAACACCGUGACCAAAGCAACUUGGGGAGGAGAGGGUUUUUUUGAUUUAUGCUUCCACAUCAUAGUUCAUCAUCAAGAAAGUCAAGACAAGACCUCAAACAGGGCAGGAACCUGGAGGCAGGAGCUGGAGGCAGGAACAUGGAGGAGUGCUGCUUACUGGCUUGCUUCUCAAAGCUUUCUCAGUCUGCUUCCUUAUAGCUUCCAGGACCACAAGCCCAGGGAUGGUCCCAUCCACAGUGGGGUGGGACCUCCACGGAUUACUAAUUAAGAAAAUGCCUUACAGGCUUAUCCACAGACCAAUCUUACUAAGGCAUUUUCUUAGUUGGCACUCCUCCUCUCUGACUCUAGGUUGUGUCACAUUGACAUAAAACUAGCCAGCACAGAGUUCUGUCUGUGAACUCCUACCAACACACUGUACUCAUGGAAAUUGACUACCCACUCUCACCACUGCCAAUCAUUGACCCAGUGAACCAACGAAGCAGAGACCUUGGUUUGCCCUCUUCAACCCUGGCCCUGCUGUGCAAGACUCCCUACAGGUGGAUGCAAAUCAGGGAAGAAGAGGACCUGUUCCCACCUGAACUUCUCGGAGUGUGCGUUGCCAUGUUUGCACGCUGGCAGUCAUAACAUCCACGUGGCCAGUGACAAGUCGUUGUGUGUCUCGUUUGUACAUGUGGGUAUGGCUGAGUCUGUUCACGACCGUUCCUCAAAGCUGGCUCAUUGUCCUCUCCUUCAUUCUUUAUACUGGCUUCUCCAUGAGGAGCUGUCUGUGGGAGCCCGUUGUCACCUUGCAGGCAUGCCCAUUUCUUUCUUUCUUGCCUUGGGACCUCUGUGACCUACAAACAGCAAGAAACAAGACCAAAACCAGGCAAACUUGGGGUGGGGUGUUACUGUUCAAACUUCACUCCCCAGGGAGCCUCCCGUGCAUCUAUUUAAUGUAACUUAAAAGAAACAACCAAUGAUUCGUGACUGAAAUUGACAGGGAUGUCUGUAUGAUCAUUUGAAGAGAGCCCUGCAGCAGAGACCCUACAAUUAGAACGCAGCAUAACGUAUUUCUGGGUAAUGUUUGCUCUUUAUGGAUCUUGUUACAUCAGAAAAACAAAUAAAUCACUACUGUGAACUUACUAAUAUGUAAUCUUAUCAUAUCCAAUUAUAAAUAAAACACGCCUUGUUUUUA